GGCUUUAGGUCUGGGACAACCACUGGAAACGGUGGCUAAUACCGGAUGUGCCGAAAGGUGAAAGGUUAACUGCCUGAGGAUGAGCUCGCGUCUGAUUAGCUAGUAGGUGUGGUAAAGGCGCACCUAGGCGACGAUCAGUAGCUGGUCUGAGAGGACGAUCAGCCACACUGGGACUGAGACACGGCCCAGACUCCUACGGGAGGCAGCAGUGGGGAAUUUUCCGCAAUGGGCGAAAGCCUGACGGAGCAAUACCGCGUGAGGGAGGAAGGCUCUUGGGUCGUAAACCUCUUUUCUCAGGGAAGAACACAAUGACGGUACCUGAGGAAUAAGCAUCGGCUAACUCCGUGCCAGCAGCCGCGGUAAUACGGAGGAUGCAAGCGUUAUCCGGAAUGAUUGGGCGUAAAGCGUCCGCAGGUGGCUGUGUAAGUCUGCUGUUAAAGAGUCUAGCUCAACUAGAUAAGAGCAGUGGAAACUACACGGCUAGAGUACGUUUGGGGCAGAGGGAAUUCCUGGUGUAGCGGUGAAAUGCGUAGAGAUCAGGAAGAACACCAGUGGCGAAGGCGCUCUGCUAGGCCGUAACUGACACUGAGGGACGAAAGCUA
rnacentral:rRNA from 1 species